CAGGUAGGACUACCCGCUGAACUUAAGCAUAUCAUAA
rnacentral:rRNA from 1 species